CAGUAGCCGCGGGAAUACGAAGGGGGCUAGCGUUGCUCGGAAUGACUGGGCGUAAAGGGCGCGUAGGCGGCACAUACAGUCAGAUGCGAAAUUCCUGGGCUUAACCUGGGGGCUGCAUUUGAUACGUAUGAGCUAGAGUGGGGAAGAGGGUUGUGGAAUUCCCAGUGUAGAGGUGAAAUUCGUAGAUAUUGGGAAGAACACCGGUGGCGAAGGCGGCAACCUGGUCCUUGACUGACGCUGAGGCGCGAAAGCGUGGGGAGCAAACAGGAUUAGAUACCCCCGUAGUCCCUGUCUCUUAUAC
rnacentral:rRNA from 1 species